rnacentral:rRNA from 1 species
AUACGUAGGGAGCAAGCGUUGUCCGGAAUUACUGGGCGUAAAGGGUGCGUAGGUGGCUAUUUAAGUCAGGUGUGAAAGACCGGGGCUCAACUCCGGGGUUGCACUUGAAACUGGGUGGCUUGAGUACAGGAGAGGGAAGUGGAAUUCCUAGUGUAGCGGUGAAAUGCGUAGAGAUUAGGAAGAACACCAGUGGCGAAGGCGACUCUCUGGACUGUAACUGACGCUGAGGCUCGAAAGCGUGGGGAGC